UCAGAGCUCCCAGAAAUGGCUAU
rnacentral:miRNA from 1 species